CCUCAUUUUCGCCAUUGUCACUCGAAGAAUCAUGUGAAGAAAGAGAAAUAUUGGAAUUAGUAGUAAUAGAGGAUAAACACACAACGUUAGACGAAGGCAAGGUAGAUGUAGCAAAUAAAGCAAGAUUUCCAUUCUUUUCUUCGUCACUCGAGCUUGAAUCACUUAAAGUUGCAUCAUCCCACGUCUUUACUUGCAAUGCCUUCUUAGUAUAUGAUUUCUUUGAGGGAUAAUCCGUUGCGAUGUGACCGUAGCCUUUGCACUUGAAGCAUCGGAUUUCGCCUUCAAAUUCAUCCUUUUCUUUCGAAGCCUUUGCACGCUUCUUCUCUUUAGAUGUAGAAGAUUUAGAAAACGUUUGUUGCUUAGACGAUGUAGCCUUGUCCGAAUUGUUCUUCUUUCAAAAAUUCCGGCGAAACUUCUUCGUUAGGAGCGCCAAUUGAUGUUCGAAGUCAGCAAUUGAGAUCUCUCCAUCGGAAUUCGAGUCUCCAUCUUCCUCUUUCGUCGAUUUCAACGUAACCCCUGUGCUUUUAGAGAAAGACUUCGAAGAAGAUUGAUUAGUAGGAAAAGUCAUCUCAUAUGUUUGUAAAGCACCUACUAAUUCUUCGACUUUCAUCUCGUCCGGAUGCUUAACGGUCUCGAUCGCGGCAACUUUUGCCCGAAAGCGUUCCGGAAGAGUUCGAAGAAUUUUUCUAACAACCUUUGAAUCCGGGAUUUUCUCUCCCAAGUUAGCGCAUGUAUUGACAACGUCUUGUAGACGCGUAUAGUACUCGGUAAAGGUCUCAUUUUCAUCCAUAGAAAUAGAAUCAAACUUGCUUGUUAGCAUUUGCAAUUUUUGAACCUUUACUAAGCUCGUUCCUUCAUGCGUAACUUGUAGAGUAUCCCAAAUCUCCUUGGUGGUUUCACAUGCCGAAACACGAGUAAACUUCGUUUGAGACAAUGCAUAUUAAAGCAUAAAACUUAGAUCAGCGAAAAAUAACUUGUUUUGAUGUUGUUCAAGUGUUCUACUAGCAAGGUAAUGCCCUAAAACACUGAUCUAUAGCAAAAAAUUGCAUAAAAAACGAAUCAAAAUUAGAGAUCAAACUAUAUCUCGGAAUUUUCUGAAAAAUAGGCAAAAACGAUGUUGAAUCAUGAAGUCCGAGCUAAAUACUUACAAAUCUAAGGGGGAAAGCAGUAGAUCUGGAGGAGGAAGAUCCCAGGAGCUCUCAGGACAAGAGAAAUCGUGAUUUAGUUUUGAUUUGAGGCAAAACGAAGCGCUAUACCCGGAUAUAAGCCGCUCGGGUACAAACCUUUUACCGGUACACGGGUUCUAGUACAGGUACAAGGACCAAAAUGUGAAAUUUUUUUUUUCGAAAAUUAUGCUUUAAAAAUCCAUCAAAUUUAAAUUAAUUUCAUACAAAUUAAGGAUUUAACUCUAAAAAUCAUUAUAAUGAAGGUAAAAUAUUAUAAGAUUUCAAAAUACAUCAAAGCAUCAAAAUUUCAUUAUAAAAAAUGAUCUUAAGUUUCAAAAUCAUCAAAAUGUAACGGUUCACGAAAAAUGAUUUUUAGAGCUUUGGCAAAAUUGACACUAAUUUGUUGCAAUCCGUUCAAAAUAGAGAUUUAACUAAUAUGAUACCGGGGGUGGCUCUUUGAGCAUCUUUUUCAAACUAACACCUUAUUACUCCGAAAAUUCUAAAAUAUUCAAUUUUUUUUUUCAACCUUUUCGGUUAUUCAAUUCAAUCUUCAUGUAGUAGCUUCACACACUUGCCGGACGACCGGGGUGGUAGCUCUUUCCUACAUGUGGUGGUAGUUUCAUAUUCCUUUUGGAUGUAACUUUUUCCACAUCUUUUUAAACAUAGGAGUUUUUUUCCCUUUUUUUUAAAAAAAUUUCAAACUCUCCCUAAAUUAGACAAUCUCACAAUUGAAAAUAUUUUGACAAAUUUUAGUCUAUUAGCGAAUAUCCAUCUAUCAUAUUCAACACACACAAUCAAGAUGAAUUAAUUACCAAGAGGUCAAAUUUGAUUUCAAAAUUUUGAUGAAUAUAUGUAUUAAGAAAUCAUAUAUUAAAUUAUCGUCAAAAUAAUAAAAAAUGGAGUAAAACUGAUAAUUAAUAUGAAGUUAAUUCAAGAUGAUUCCGGUUAAAAAAUCCCCCCAAAAUAGAGAUUUUCAAUCGUCGCCUCUCUCAAAGAAAAAUUUUGAAAUUCCCAAAUACCAUUCCUCAAACCGAUUUAUAAACUAAUAAAAUUCAAGCACCAAAAAUCGUCUAAACAUGUAAUGCAAUGAAUAAAAAUAUGCAAUAAGCACCAAACAAAGCAUUACAUAAACAAUAAAACAAACUAAGACAAAGAGCAAGGAAAGAUAUCACCUUUCCGGAUCCAAACUUGUCGGAUCGUUGGUUUUCUCGACUUGUUGACGUUAGGUGCUGUUUGUUUAGAUUUUUGAUCAACCGUUGGUCGUUUCGUCGCUUGCGGCUUCGGUUGAACUUGUCGUUGUGCAUUAGAAUUCCGAUUCCCUCGAUGUGCUCGACUCAAAUGAUUUGGAUUUCGAUUUCGUGGGGGAUGUCGAGUUGUAGACGAUGUCGAUUGAGGUUUAGACAUUGCCGAUUGAUUCUUCGUUUCCUUAUUUGAGCAAUUCCUUUUAAUGUGUCAUUUGAUGUCACAUCGAAGACACACUUUGCCUUUUAAAGUUGUUGAGACUUUAGAUGUCGCAGUUUGAUCCUCCUCAACAUAUGUCCGUUCAUAUCCAAGGCCCAAUUUGCUCGUUUGACCCAAUCCAAGCAUUUUAUCCAAUUUCUUAGAUCCCGAUGAAAACUUUUGAAUGUCGGUUUGGAGUUGUCGAACUUAGUUGAUCAAGGAUUGAUUGGAUUUGUGCGAUUCAUGAAAUUGAUGCUCCAAAAAUCCAAUCUUGUCUUUAGAUGAUUUGUUCGUUGAUUCCGCUUCAUUGAGCUUCUCUUGGAGGUCCGAAUUAUUCUUCAAAAUUGAGUCCCUUUCCUCCUCGAGAGCUUUGUUCGUGGUUUUCAAGUUGUUGUUAUCCUCUUCGAGACUCAACAAACGACGCCUCAACUUCUUAUUUAGUUUGGCCAUCUUCUUUGAUUCAAUAAGAAGUUGAUUGUACGCUUCCGCUAUGUCGUCGUCGUUUGAUUCCUCCUCAUUUUCGCCAUUGUCACUCGAAGAAUCAUGUGAAGAAAGAGAAAUAUUGGAAUUAGUAGUAAUAGAGGAUAAACACACAACGUUAGACGAAGGCAAGGUAGAUGUAGCAAAUAAAGCAAGAUUUCCAUUCUUUUCUUCGUCACUCGAGCUUGAAUCACUUAAAGUUGCAUCAUCCCACGUCUUUACUUGCAAUGCCUUCUUAGUAUAUGAUUUCUUUGAGGGAUAAUCCGUUGCGAUGUGACCGUAGCCUUUGCACUUGAAGCAUCGGAUUUCGCCUUCAAAUUCAUCCUUUUCUUUCGAAGCCUUUGCACGCUUCUUCUCUUUAGAUGUAGAAGAUUUAGAAAACGUUUGUUGCUUAGACGAUGUAGCCUUGUCCGAAUUGUUCUUCUUUCAAAAAUUCCGGCGAAACUUCUUCGUUAGGAGCGCCAAUUGAUGUUCGAAGUCAGCAAUUGAGAUCUCUCCAUCGGAAUUCGAG
rnacentral:lncRNA from 1 species